rnacentral:piRNA from 1 species
UGCCAUGAUGAGUGUUGUAGGUCAUUAUC